AGAUGAAAGUUUAGCUUUCUUCU
rnacentral:snRNA from 1 species